rnacentral:rRNA from 1 species
UGGGCUUGACAUCCCACGAACCUUCCCAAAAGGGUUGGGUGCCCGCAAGGGAGCGUGGAGACAGGUGGUGCAUGGCUGUCGUCAGCUCGUGUCGUGAGAUGUUGGGUUAAGUCCCGCAACGAGCGCAACCCUCACCCCUUGUUGCCACCGGGUAAAGCCGAGCACUCUAGGGGAACUGCUAGCGUCAAGCUGGAGGAAGGUGGGGAUGACGUCAAGUCAUCAUGCCCCUUACGCCCUGGGCUACACACGUGCUACAAUGGCCGGUGCAAAGGGAUGCAAGACCGCGAGGUGGAGCUAACCCCAAAAAACCGGUCUAAGUUCAGAUUGCAGUCUGCAACUCGACUGCAUGAAGGAGGAAUCGCUAGUAAUCGCGCAUCAGCACGGCGCGGUGAAUACGUUCCCGGGCCUUGUACACACCGCCCGUCACACCACGAAAGCCGGCUGUACUCGAAGUCGCUGAG